rnacentral:lncRNA from 1 species
CGCAGGCUUCCGGGAAUACCACCCCGGCGUGCUGCAUCCUCGCUCGGGAGGCAGCAGUCCGACCUCGCCGCAGCCAAGCCAAGGCGGAUGGAAAUACUCAUGAAGUUGGAACCGAGCCUGCAGAAAGCUGGGGCCAUCUCUACGGGAAUUAGCGUUCUUCAAGCGCAGUGGACAGUCACCGUGUGCUAUACUCAUCGCCGUGUUGUGUGCUGUAUAUAAUGUUGAGAGGGCGCUCUUUCAACGCCUGCUUUUUAUGUCUGCAUUCACAGGGUCGGCGCGGUUCUUAUGUAAAGGAUGUGUACUAUAAAGGAUAGCGUUUCUUGCUUUUAAGCCCAUGUUACUAUCUCCAAAAGUUAAUUAUGUGUUCGCGGAUGUAGGUGCAAACCAUGCUCGUGGUCUUUGUUCUCGCCGCCGUCUUCUCUAUAUAUGCAUGAUGGCCGCACUGUUUUUUCCUGCCAAAACCGUCGUUCUUUUUAAACAGGGGGGUGCCGCUAUAGUUCUCCUAAGACCAGCUUUUCAUGUUUCGCUGAUGUUACUCAAAAUUACAUAAUGGCACUGUCCUCUCCACUGCCUUGAGCUGAGUUGCCGAGAUGGACGUUUUCUUUUUCUUUCUUCCUCGCUUGCGUUCCAAUUUUCUUUGUUGCGUAACAACACUCCACAGAUGUGCAACUUAGCCCUUCUAGUAAUUCAUUAUAUGCACGAAUGUAAAGUUUUUCUCAGAGGCGAUUGUAUGAAUCGACCGCCGAGUUUCAUCUGUUCUCUAGCCUUUUGCGUUUACCUUGUACAUGAGUAUUAUUUUGGAGAAGUGCUGUAAAUAAGCUUUUAAAAGAACAUUCAGGGUUUCCCACGUAGACGUCCAAGCAUUAAAAUAAAAGUUGUGCGUUAGUCAAACCAACGCAGUGGAUUGUACGGUCUUGCGCGUAAGCACACAAUUUUUGAGCCAUUAUUACACAUAUUUUUCUUAUCCGCUUGCGCGACUAAAGUAGUAUGCAAGAGCGACCGUAUAUAUAGUGAGAUUCUGAGUUAUUCUGAACUCUUGAUAUUUCUUUAAUUAUCGCUUACGUGUAGAACUUAAAAAAAACUAUAAUUUCAACCAAACUUCCGAACAUUUAUUUAGGCUAAUGACAUAAUCGAUAAACAGCGGAAACUAUUUCAUAUAUCUUCUUUUUCACGCACCCGCAGUGAAUUACAUCUAUCUCGUUCUAUUUCUUUUAAUAUGCUUUUGAUCGACUUGAACGAGACACACUGCAUUUUUGUGAGUGUUAUCUCCACUGCUGGAUUAAGAGAAUUCGCAAUGGAGAGAGCCAAGGGGGCUGCAUCCCAAGUCUCACCUCUGACUGAAGCGAAAGAGAGACCAUUCCACUUAUCUUGAAUCGGUUUUUUUUUGUUUUUUUAAGAGAACUGCGUGCACAAUUGACAAACGGAAUGAGCAUGGUUAUGAUUAGCUCAGAACAGGAAUUACCGAAAGUAUCUUUCUUUAAUUAAAAGAAAAAUGAAUGAAGAACAACUUUUUCCCUGGCUUUCUAUAUACGAUAUACGCAUACAGAGUGUCCCAACUAUCAUGCACCAAGAUUUAAAAAUAUACGAAUGCCACGUAGCUGGACAAAACCAAGGUAAAGUUGUUUGCCGUCGCUUGGAGAUACUCAGAUUAUUUAUUUUUUUCUUACAUUCCGCCUAAUUACAUAAUCAGUCUCAAUUAAAUAAUCAACUUCUCAAAUAAUAAUAUUUGAUUAGAAGUGUCGACGAGAAAAUUGUAGAGCAACAUGAAAAACUCCAGAUACAGCUUUCUGUUGCUCAAUACGUGCUUCAUAAAAGCGUUUUUCCGAGCGUGAAAGAAGCCCGCGAAUACACGCAAAAUUGCCGCGCGACUGGCCGCUCGAGGCACUUCGCGAGGCACCUCCUAAGAACGAAAAGCUUUAUGAAUUUGGCCCCUGAUGCCCAGUCGACAAAACUCUGCACUUUCCUGCUUUUGAGAGCUAUUGCGAAGAAAUAAGAGUUAGGAAGCAUAGAAACUUCCAACACGUUCUAGUGCCGCUGAAAGAUACAAACCUUUAGCUUGCCUUUGUUCCCCCUUUUUUGCCGAUGCAAAAGAUGGAAGGAGAGGAGCAGUCGAAACAAUGAGUUGUAAAAUACCGUGGAAGCGCGUUGCUGGCAUGUUCUGUUCAUGACAAAUCGUUGCUGAUUAGUUGAGUGUUCAAUAUUAUACGCCUGUUUUUGAUGGUCUCUUUCGGAGAGCGGCCAUGCAUAAAUUUGAAAACGUUAACGCAAUGCAUAUGUUUGCACAGCGUGGAACGCCUGCAGUUGGUGCCACGGUCACUACUUAUCAUUUUCAGAUUGCGUGAAGCGUGCCAAGAUGUUCUUUUCUUUUUUUCGGUAACUGGAGUAUCUAAACUGUUGCUUCUCUAGGUCGUAGGAACAGAUAGUCCCACCGUAUACGCGUAUAAGCGCCAGCAGUGCUCUGCGUUUACUAUGCAUAUAGAGUAUGUGGAAGCUGUAUUGGCACCCUAAAAAAUGUUUUUUUUUAAUUGGACGACGCUUAAGCUUCGCAAGAGUGGAACGCGAUAGCAUUUAAAUAUCCUUGACUGCUUCUCACGCUUUCCGGCAACUGCAGAUUAUGUAACUGUAAUGUUUACCGGGAAACGCUGGCGGCGAACGCUAUGCCCGAAAGCGAGCUUCGUGGUAGAAACUCAGCCUCAUGCGUGGGCCGAUCCCGGAGGUUGUGUACAGCCGCGCCAAGAAAUUGCAUCAUUUUCAGGUUUCUGUUAUUGUUUCGCAUUUUUAAUAUUUAGGUCUGAGAAGAUUUAACAUAAAAGCCAUGCGCUGUCGGUGUUUUGUUUCGUGACAUUUUUUUGUGGGCUGUGAUUCUCAAAAUUUCGAGAAAUAACUUUGUCAAGAAUGUAAGACAAGGUAUGAGCAACUUUAGUGAUAGAAUGGUGUGACAAUGUAACCCGCAUAUACAGCAUGUCAUAUAGCUAGGCGUGGUAUAUACAUAUACCUGAAUAUACACGGAAAUUUUCGCUCGCGGACAACUCCGCCGACACCGGAUCUUUUGCGCCACAUGCAGAGGCCUUAACGCUUUCGCGUUAAAACAUGCAACGGUAUACAGAACCGGUGGUUUGAAUGUGACGCUUUUAAAAUGGGGGUAACACUGUACCGCUUAUUCUCUUUCGAGAGACUGUCCGACACGUGUCCUUGAAGAAGCGUCGAAGAGAACAGUGAGAAAAGGUUGGGGAAUUCACGACCUUUUUAUUGUUUGUUUCUUCUUUGGCGAAGUAAAAAAAUGGUUGUCUGACGGCCCAUGGAAUCCAAAGGCUUCAAAAAAUACUUGACGUGUCGAGAAGCAGGCCGACAAGGCCCGCUCCAUCGGAAGCGCACGAGGACCAAUUGAAAACUUAGCUGCAUUUACUGCGUUCAUACACUCAAUGUUUCUUGGUGUUGCUUUCCUUGUUUACUUUUAUCGCUGUCUUCCUCACUCGUCCUGAUGGCAAAACAAGAGAAGGGAAGAAAACAAAUGUUAGCGAAGUAACGUCCUGUGAGAGAACCCGCCAUGUGACAUGUGAAUUGUCGCUGUUCUAAAAAAAAAAAAAAAAAAGCUGUGUCUGUCUUUCUUCUGCUCCAUCUACACUUGAAAACUAUGCUACCGAAAUUAAAAUGUAUGUUCAUUUGCUG